rnacentral:snoRNA from 1 species
CCCAUUGGUAGGCAACUGCCUAGGUUGCCUUGUACCUAGGCAAGUGUUACCCUGCUGGGAGAAGAGCAGCCAGUAGCUGGCGGGCAUUCUGGGCCUGGUUAAUGCCAAAUU